GAUUGGCUUGCGUCCGAUUAGCUAGUUGGUAGAGUAAUAGCCUACCAAGGCUUCGAUCGGUAGCUGGUCUGAGAGGAUGAUCAGCCACACUGGAACUGAGACACGGUCCAGACUCCUACGGGAGGCAGCAGUGAGGAAUAUUGGGCAAUGCCCGAAAGGGUGACCCAGCAACGCCGCGUGGAGGAUGAAAGCCGUAAGGUUGUAAACUCCUGUUAGAGGGGACGAACAAUCCCGAUUGCCUCGGGACUUGACGGUACCCUCAGAGAAAGCCCCGGCUAACUACGUGCCAGCAGC
rnacentral:rRNA from 1 species